UACGUAGGCGGCGCUGUUAGUCGGGUGUGAAAUCCCUCGGCUCAACCGAGGAAUUGCGUCCGAUACUGCAGUGCUUGAGGGAGACAGAGGUAAGCGGAACUGAUGGUGGAGCGGUGAAAUGCGUUGAUAUCAUCAGGAACACCGGUGGCGAAAGCGGCUUACUGGGUCUCUUCUGACGCUGAGGUACGAAAGCUAGGGGAGCGAAGG
rnacentral:rRNA from 1 species